GGCUCUGUAACUUAGUAGGUAAAGCACUCGUCUAGCAUACAAGAGUUCGAAUGGGUUCGAAUCCCACCUGAGCAC
rnacentral:tRNA from 1 species